rnacentral:rRNA from 1 species
AUUGAACGCUGGCGGCAGGCUUAACACAUGCAAGUCGAGCGGUAACAGAGAGAAGCUUGCUUCUCUGCUGACGAGCGGCGGACGGGUGAGUAAUGCCUAGGAAUCUGCCUAGUAGUGGGGGAUAACUUGCCGAAAGGUAAGCUAAUACCGCAUACGUCCUACGGGAGAAAGGAGGGGACCUUCGGGCCUUUCGCUAUUAGAUGAGCCUAGGUCGGAUUAGUUAGUUGGUGAGGUAAUGGCUCACCAAGACCGCGAUCCGUAACUGGUCUGAGAGGAUGAUCGGUCACACUGGAACUGAGACACGGUCCAGACUCCUACGGGAGGCAGCAGUGGGGAAUAUUGGACGAUGGGGGGAACCCUGAUCCAGCCAUGCCGCGUGUGUGAAGAAGGUCUUAGGAUUGUAAAGCACUUUAAGUUGGGAGGAAGAGCAGUUAACUAAUAUUUGACUGUUUUGACGUUACCGACAGAAUAAGCACCGGCUAGCUUCGUGCCAGCAGCCGCGGUAA